rnacentral:sRNA from 1 species
AACAUCCGCUGCAAAGCCUCUACCAUAGAUGUCACCGCGACCACAGCAGGACAUCUGGGUGAAGCGGUCCCGCUCACACCCUACCAAGAGCUCAGCGGCAGUCUACAGUUUCUAGCAUCCACCAGACAUCCCUUUUUCAGCAUCCUAUUCCAAGUUACGACCUCACGGGCGUCCAUUCCGGAAACAGAGUGUGUAGCCGUGUCUGAGGCAGCAAAAGCACGCCGUUUCUUCUCACAGACUGUUAUUCGAAGAAUUGGCGUAUAAAACCGGCAAAAUCCCAUUCCAUUGCGACAACUAGGGUUACCAUAUUACGAAAGGGAGCCAGCAUCAGAAUUGUAGCAUGGUGGCAACCUAGAUUACAGGGCAUAGCGUGACGAGAGAUGCGUAAGAGCGUUAUCGUAUACCACAAAUGCUUCGCAAUGCCCUCAGUAGUGGUGGAGUCCUUGCCCUAAUAAACUUCUACGCCCGCGAAGAGGAGGGCCACUGCCUCCACAGGACACUUGACGUGGUUGACGAGUUCAAGUAGAUAGUUCGAAAAGGACAUGAAUCGAUGUGCCGGGUUGC